CAUCUCUCUAACAGAUUUGUGACCGAGGCUGUAACUCAUGACUUUGCACAGGAAAAAUAUGUGAUAUUGGAUAAUUUGGCUAUCUUAAAAAGAUAAAACUUGCUGAGACUUGAAGCAAUGCAGAUGUAUGAAGACUCUGCUAUCACAGGUGGUACAGACAUCCAUCUUCCCUUGUCUGUUUUUUCAACCUGGAUGGCCUCUGUGGACUAGAUGAACAAGUGUGUUUUCCAUUUCAUGAAGAAACCAAUUGGGAGCUAGCCUGAGUAGUGUGAAUUUAAUUAUCUGCUAGAAUAGAAA